rnacentral:rRNA from 1 species
UACAGAGGUCUCAAGCGUUGUUCGGAUUCAUUGGGCGUAAAGGGUGCGUAGGCGGGUCUUUAAGUCAGGGGUGAAAUCCUGGAGCUCAACUCCAGAACUGCCUUUGAUACUGAGGAUCUUGAGUUCGGGAGAGGUGAGUGGAACUGCGAGUGUAGAGGUGAAAUUCGUAGAUAUUCGCAAGAACACCAGUGGCGAAGGCGGCUCACUGGCCCGAUACUGACGCUGAGGCACGAAAGCGUGGGGGGCAAACAGG